GGAGUUAGAUGCGUGGUGGAUGCGGGCUGGGUGCGGGGGUGGAUGCGGGGCUGGGUGCGGGUCUGUGUGCGGGCCGGGUGGUCUCGCGUGGGCGCAGCAGUGCGGGGCUGGCGCGCAGGAGCGGACGCGGGCGGCGCUGCUGGAGACGCUGCACGAGGAGCUGCAGGCGCGCAGCCAGGCCAUGCUGGGGCUCAGCCCCGACGAUGAGCGCCCCGACAACGGCGGCGCCGCCCCGGGCUUCUUCGAGUCCUUCAAGUCGCUGCUGGUGCCCGGGAGCCGCCGGGGACGCCGCGGCAGCGCCAUCGGGCUGGGCUCGGUGGAAGAGGCGCUGCUGGUGCCCGGGAAGAGCCCGUCACGGCGGCGGCCCGGCCCCCUCGGCUCCCGCCGCUCCAGCGCCAUCGGCAUCGAGAGUAUCCAGGAGGCGCCGGCCGGCAGGGACAGCCCCGCAGCCGCCGACGGCUCCAGCUCCACACACAGCUCCCCCGAGAGCCGCCGGAACCCCGACAGGUCCCGGGGCUGGCACCGGGAUGGGGACACGGGGACAGGAGGGCACUGGGGGGGGGAAUGUUUGGGACUGGAAGACACUGGGAUGGUGUGGCAACGGGACAGGGUGGCACCAGGAUGGGGUGACUCCAGCACCAGGUGACACGGGGACUGGAGGACGCUGCGAUGGCGCAGCUCAAGGACGGGGUGGCACAGGGAUGGGCACUGGGACAAGUGAAGGUGACACAGGAGGGAUGGGACAGCAAAGGAAUGCAGAGGGACAGAGUGGCGGCAGGGUGGGGUGGCACAGGGACAAGGUGGCACCAGGAUGGCUGGCACAGGGCAGCAUGGGAACACCAGAGGGACAAGGUGUCACAGGGACAGGCUCACCCAGGGGCUGAGUGGCACCGGGUCCGUAUGUCCCAGGGACAAGGUGGCAGCGGGCUGCGGGGUGGCACUCGGGUAGCUUGGCUGCAGGGUGGCAUGAAGGUGGGUGGCACAGGGACACAAGGGACAUGGGGACAGGAUUGCACGGGGCUGGCACCUCCCAGGGCUGGGAUGGGAUGGGGUGGGGACAGGGUGCCACAGGGAUGGGACAUGCCGGGGCCAGGGUGACAUGAGGAUGCAGUGUCCCGGCCGGGGUGGUGUGGGGACAGGGUGUCCCGGGGCCAGCACAGCAUCGCAGCGGGGCCACGGUGGUGGCCACGAGGCGCGGUGCCAGCCUGUUGUGGCCUUGGGGACCGUCCCUGGCCGUGGGGACUGUCCCUGGCAGGGCCGAGAAGCCGGAGCCGCCGGAUUUCUCCCGCUCCUCCUCCAGCGCCAGCAGCUUCGGCAGCGCCGCGGAGGAGCCCGGCGAGCCGGGACGGGUACGGGGAGCCCGGGGUGGGCUCCGGGGGGGCACUUUGGGGUGGGCAGCACCCCCUGACCCCCCUGUGCCCCCUCAGGAGAGCCGCUCGCCCUCGGGGAGCCACCGCGACGCCUUCACGGACACCCCCUGGCCGGAUGAGCCCCCCGGGACCCCCCCAGGUAGCCCAGCACCCCCGGAUCGGGGCACUGCAGGGCUGGGGGCUCCUCGGGGUGCUCACGGUCCCCCCUUUGCCCCAGGCCGCCGCCCGCCUGACUCCCCCUGCCCUGAGAUCAAAAUCCAGCUGGAGCAGCCCCCCCAGAACCCGGUGAGGCUUUGCCCCCUUCACCCGUGCAGAGUGGGGGUGCCCACCGUGGGGUGCCCCCACUGAUGUCCCUCCCACAGGGCUCAUAGUCACCCCCCCACCUGCGGGGGUGCCACUGCUUCACCCCCCUCUGUGUGCCACCCCCGUGCCAGGAGCUGAAGCCAUCGUCCCCGGUGCAGGACUUGGGGGGGGGGGNNNNNNNNNNNNNNNNNNNNNNNNNNNNNNNNNNNNNNNNNNNNNNNNNNNNNNNNNNNNNNNNNNNNNNNNNNNNNNNNNNNNNNNNNNNNNNNNNNNNNNNCGUGACCCCAAAAUGAGGAGUGGGUCCAACCCCAGCAUCAUCCCCUCCCCUAAAAAACCAGAGGGGACUCAAAUCCAGGGUAACCCCAAAGUGGAGCUCCCUCUCCCCCCCUUUAUUUUAAGGGACAAAAGUUCCGGAAUGUGCCGGAGGCUGGAACUGGGGGGAAGGGGGAGGAAUAUUUUUUCACACCCUCCCAAAACUGUGUUUGUGUUUCCCGUGAGUCCUGUAUAAAAUAAAGGUUUAUUUAUCGCUACA
rnacentral:lncRNA from 1 species